rnacentral:lncRNA from 1 species
CCUGGGGCCUGCUGACGCCUCCAGUGUUGGCUGUUCUGCACGAAACAAUUCCUCAACACGUUCCUUAGGCAUGGUCUCCUUCAAGGUGUAAAGGGCUUGUUCUCUUCCCAGUUCCCUGCUCAUAUGUACCCUAGCCAACGUGUGGAGCAAGAAACAAUUUCUCCUCUGCACUGUCUUCUUUCCCUGCUCCCCAGUCCCACUAAUGAGGAUCAGCCCAUGGUGGUAUUUUGCUAUUAUUUCUGUGUCUGGUGUCUUCUCAGCCCCAUUCUCUGUGAUGUUUACUUGUGUAGCUGAUGUCACUCAGGAGCAGAGCAAAGUACUGCUCAUGGCUGGGCCUCAGCCACCUUUAUAGCUCCUCUGGGCAACAGCCCGGCCAUCGGAACACACCUUUCUGCCAGCUGUGGAGACAGCCUCGGGCUGGUUGCUGCAAGGCUUGCUCUCUGGACAGCUGCUUCAUCUUAGUGGCUGUUCUGGAAUCUCUGUCUGAGAAAAUGAGACAGUUUCCCGGGGAGUUCAGAUUUCUUGGAAACAAGCUGUCUCUUUUGCGUCAUUGAAGAAAGUUGGAAAAAAAUUCUACUGUCUUACUAACCUGCAUCACUGUGUUUCUUGCAUGCCUUCCUGAAGCAGGACAGUGUUUAAGUUUUUUUUUUUUUUUUUUUUUUAUCUCAUGCAGGUCAUAGGUUUUGGAUCUGUUGAAAUUGCAGCAUUCAUAGCUAUGGUAGAAAUUGUUUGUUAUGGCUCAGAUGGUCUUUCUUACCAUCUUGAUGAGAUCAUUAGGGAAUAAGAAUAUUGUCUUCCUUGGCAUGGGCUUUUAGAGACUCCAGUUAGCUCAGUAUGCUUUUGGAUCUGAAGCCUGGAUGAUGUGGUCAGUGGGGACUGUGGCCACCAUGUUCACCAUUACAUUUCCAGUAAUCAAUGCCUUUGUCUCUCAGAAUGCAGAGUCAGAUUGGCAAGGAGUUGCCUAAGAGAUCGUAACUGGAAUAAGAGGACUAUGCAAUGGUCUGGGGCCAGCACUGUAUGGCUUCAUAUUCUACAUGUUCCAUGUGGAACUGACCAGAUCGGGCCCGAAAUUGAAUACUAACGAUGUUACCCUGCAGGGAGCUGUCAUCCCAGGCCUGCCAUUUUUACCUGGGCAUGUACAGUUCCUAUGUCUUUUCUGGUUGCCUUAUUCAUCCCUGAAUACAGGAAAGGCAGGGGAGUUCAAAAAUAUAGCAGCAGUGGCAGUGACAGCCUGACCAACAUCCCAGAAUGGGGCAGUGAUGAGGACAGUGAGCCACUGCUGCAAGACAGUAGCAUC